UUUGUUGUAGUCUAGCUGGUUUCAUUGACACCUCCUCAUACAGGAGGUUACGGGUUCGAUUCCCAGCAACCAUC
rnacentral:tRNA from 1 species